CUUGGAACAGGAGGUCGUGGAGGGUGAGAACCCCGUACAUGGCUUGGGUGCCGCAUUCCUAGUGAUGGUUCCUCUAAGAGUCGGGUUGUUUGGGAAUGCAGCUCAAAAUGGGUGGUAAAUUUCAUCUAAAGCUAAAUAUUGGCGAGAGACCGAUAGCAAACAAGUAGAGUGAUCGAAAGAUGAAAAGUACUUUGAAAAGAGAGUGAAACAGUACGUGAAAUUGUUGAAAGGGAAGCGUUUGGCAUCAGCCCAUGAUGGUCAUCGAACAUCCUGGCUUCUGCCUGGUGCACUCGAUGGCCAUUGGGCCAGCGUCGGCUCUGCCAGCUGGAGAAAGGCCUUGGACAAGUGGCUCCUUUUCGGGGGCGUUAUAGCCCAUGGCGUCAUGCAGCUUGGUGGGGCCGAGGUCCGCG
rnacentral:rRNA from 1 species